rnacentral:rRNA from 1 species
UACAGAAGAUGCAAGCGUUAUCUGGAAUUAUUGGGCGUAAAGCGUUCUGUAGAUGGUUUUCUAAGUUUAAUGUUAAAGAUCAGGGCUUAACUUUGAAAUGGCAUUGAAAACUGGUGAACUUGAGUACGAUAGGGGUAGAGGGAAUUUCCAGUGUAGCGGUGAAAUGCGUAGAUAUUGGAAAGAACACCAAUGGCGAAAGCACUCUACUAGGUUGAUACUGACAUUGAGAGACGAAAGCUAGGUUA